rnacentral:rRNA from 1 species
GACGAACGCUGGCGGCGUGCUUAACACAUGCAAGUCGAACGAUGACGACCGAGCUUGCUCGGUCUGAUUAGUGGCGAACGGGUGAGUAACACGUGAGCAACCUGCCCUUCACUCUGGGAUAACCUCGGGAAAUCGGGGCUAAUACCGGAUUUGAGCUCCUGUCGCAUGGCGGGUGUUGGAAAGUUUUUCGGUGAAGGAUGGGCUCGCGGCCUAUCAGUUUGUUGGUGAGGUAGUGGCUCACCAAGGCGAUGACGGGUAGCCGGCCUGAGAGGGCGACCGGCCACACUGGGACUGAGACACGGCCCAGACUCCUACGGGAGGCAGCAGUGGGGAAUAUUGCACAAUGGGCGAAAGCCUGAUGCAGCGACGCCGCGUGAGGGAUGACGGCCUUCGGGUUGUAAACCUCUUUCAGCAGGGAAGAGGCGAAAGUGACGGUACCUGCAGAAGAAGCGCCGGCUAACUACGUG